rnacentral:rRNA from 1 species
CCUACGGGAGGCAGCAGUGGGGAAUCUUGCGCAAUGGGCGAAAGCCUGACGCAGCCAUGCCGCGUGAAUGAUGAAGGUCUUAGGAUUGUAAAAUUCUUUCACCGGGGACGAUAAUGACGGUACCCGGAGAAGAAGCCCCGGCUAACUUCGUGCCAGCAGCCGCGGUAAUACGAAGGGGGCUAGCGUUGCUCGGAAUUACUGGGCGUAAAGGGCGCGUAGGCGGACAUUUAAGUCAGGGGUGAAAUCCCAGAGCUCAACUCUGGAACUGCCUUUGAUACUGGGUGUCUUGAGUGUGAGAGAGGUAUGUGGAACUCCGAGUGUAGAGGUGAAAUUCGUAGAUAUUCGGAAGAACACCAGUGGCGAAGGCGACAUACUGGCUCAUUACUGACGCUGAGGCGCGAAAGCGUGGGGAGCAAACAGGAUUAGAUACCCUGGUAGUCCACGCCGUAAACGAUGAUUGCUAGUUGUCGGGCUGCAUGCAGUUCGGUGACGCAGCUAACGCAUUAAGCAAUCCGCCUGGGGAGUACGGUCGCAAGAUUAAAACUCAAAGGAAUUGACGGNGUGAGACGCGCGAGACGACGACGAGGGAGAGG